GUGGACACAAUGAUUGGCGAGGAAGCCGUAUCGGCUUAAUAAGAAGAAAUACCAAAAGUGAACAAAAAAUAUUGAUGCUUGUCAUGGAGUCACCGUUUGGUCCUAGGAGCCUUGGAUAAAAAUAUCAAGCAAUUAGACAAAAGUUUACAUGGGAUUAAACAAUAGUAUAUGUACACGUUUGGCCAAAAGCAAAAAAAAAGAGAGAUAAAGACUGGAUAAAUGGGGUCGAACCCUGCACCUCGAGCACCACCAAACGAGGGUACAGAAACAUGCUACAUGACAGUAUUGUACAAGCAAACAAACGAUCGUAUUUUUUUAGGUUCGGCAUGUCUGUUCAGUUCAGACUUCAGACCUUCCCUGAUACAGCUUCUAGUCUCCACCGCAACUUCUGCAGCACAUUACAACACAUGUUCCCUGCAGGCUGCAGCACAUGUUCCCUGCAAAUUCUGUUGAGUCGCAAAGGUCAGCCUUGAGGGAUAGUGGAGUCGCACACAGAGGGGAGGAGGAGGUUGCUGAAAUUGCUGAUGUCCGCGCUCGAUGGAUACGGACAGGGCACGGAGCCACGGACAAUGCGCUGUUCAAUAGAAUAGGAGCGUGCGGCGCAAGGAGAGGAGCUCGACGGAGAUUGAGACGGAGCCAGAGGAAGCAGCAGAUCAAUGCACGUGACAUAGGUCUCGUCGGGCUCAGCGCGACGCAGAUCUGCGGCAGGGAGCAGACCCACGCCAGAGGCCGCAAGCCCACGCUGGAGGACACGUCAGGGGCGCCGACUCCGGUGGAGAGCAGGCCCCUGCCGGAGGCCGCAAGCACGCGCCGUUGGAGCUCGACGGGCGUGUACUCGACGGGGCACGCUGCACAGAGAUCUCCGGGGCACGGAGCAGGGAGCCAGCUUGCCGGAGUUUGGACCUGGGAGAUCUCGACGGGGAUGGAGAUGAUAGGGAUGGAGAUGCGGCGGGACCUGGUGGUGGACGUGCUCGGCGGGCGUGAAGGACCAAUGAAAAAUGUCGCGGGAGAGGCGCUAGGAGCUGGAGGCGACGGGAAGAGAUGUCGAAGAGCCGGCGGCGGGCACCUGGCGGCUGUCCUCAAGCACGUCUGGAUGGAUCGGGUCUGUUGUGGUCCCCACCUG
rnacentral:misc_RNA from 1 species